GAUGAACGCUAGCUACAGGCUUAACACAUGCAAGUCGAGGGGUAACGAGAGGAAAGCUUGCUUUCCUUGUCGACGACCGGCGCACGGGUGAGUAACGCGUAUCCAACCUGCCCCCAACUAGGGAAUAACCUUGCGAAAGUAAGACUAACACCCUAUAAUUUCCUCAGAUGUCAUCUGACGAGGAAUAAAGAUUUAUCGGUUGUGGAUGGGGAUGCGUCUGAUUAGCUUGUUGGCGGGGUAACGGCCCACCAAGGCAACGAUCAGUAGGGGUUCUGAGAGGAGGGUCCCCCACAUGGGAACUGAGACACGGUCCAAACUCCUACGGGAGGCAGCAGUGAGGAAUAUUGGUCAAUGGGCGGAAGCCUGAACCAGCCAAGUAGCGUGCAGGAUGACGGCCCUAUGGGUUGUAAACUGCUUUUAUACAGGAAUAAAGUUAGCCACGUGUGGUUAUUUGUAGGUACUGUAUGAAUAAGGACCGGCUAAUUCCGUGCCAGCAGCCGCCGUAA
rnacentral:rRNA from 1 species